rnacentral:rRNA from 1 species
CCUACGGGAGGCAGCAGUGGGGAAUAUUGCACAAUGGGGGAAACCCUGAUGCAGCGACGCCGCGUGAGUGAAGAAGUAUUUCGGUACGUAAAGCUCUAUCAGCAGGGAAGAAAAUGACGGUACCUGACUAAGAAGCACCGGCUAACUACGUGCCAGCAGCCGCGGUAAUACGUAGGGGGCAAGCGUUAUCCGGAUUUACUGGGUGUAAAGGGAGCGUAGGCGGCAGCGCAAGUCUGGAGUGAAAUCCCAUGGCUUAACCAUGGAACUGCUUUGGAAACUGUGCAGCUAGAGUGCAGGAGAGGUAAGCGGAAUUCGUAGUGUAGCGGUGAAAUGCGUAGAUAUUAGGAGGAACACCAGUGGCGAAGGCGGCUUACUGGACUGUAACUGACGUUGAGGCUCGAAAGCGUGGGGAGCAAACAGGAUUAGAUACCCCUGUAGUC